rnacentral:sRNA from 1 species
CAAUCAAAGAAAGGAGGUGCUCUAGUGUCUAGAAAGAACCUGGAGAAUGCGAUCGGGACAGCUUCGGAGGUCCGCGCCUGAGGCAGCCCUUGGGCACGUAUCUGCGGGGUGGAUUCGUCUAACCGAUCCAGCCUCCUGAACUUUCGGAAGGCCGUCCCGAUGACGCGGGGCGGCCU